GAGGCGUAAGCAUGGCAACAGAGACUCAGAAC
rnacentral:scRNA from 1 species